rnacentral:tRNA from 1 species
GCCUCGGUAGCUUAGCCUGGCCGAGCGGCUGAUUUGUAAUCAGCAGGUCGAGGGUUCAAAUCCCUCCCGAGGCU